CCGCGGUAAAACGCGUUACUCCUACGGGAGGCAGCAGUGGGGAAUUUUGCGCAACGGGGGAAACCCUGACGCAGCAACGCCGCGUGGAGGAUGAAGUCCCUUGGGACGUAAACUCCUUUCGACCGGGAAGCGGUACCGGUGGAAGAAGCCCCGGCUAACUUC
rnacentral:rRNA from 1 species